UACUCAAAUAGUUUAAAUUAAAAUGUUAGCUUGUGGCGCUUAAGAGUGUAUAAAAAAUACUUUGGGUAG
rnacentral:tRNA from 1 species